rnacentral:lncRNA from 1 species
AUGUGACGUUCAAGACCAGACUUCUGUCUCCAAACCAGGGUUUCUAGCGUGUUGGAUUCGGCGGAGUUUGCUGCAAUUUUAGUGAAGUCCUUUUGGCUGACUUGGGCAUAUGUUGCUCGUUCAUUUUUGUGGUUAUGAGAUGAAUAUCACACAAAAUAAAAAAUCUUUCAACGGCAAUCAAUUAUCAUAAAACAGACUUCUUGACCAGAUGAGUGGUUUGCACACAUAGUUAAACAAAGUUGAUGUUAACCCAACACCUUUCUAAUUAGCUACACACAUCAAUUACUUUUGAUAACUGAUUGGAAAUAAGAGAAUAGUUAAUUAUCCUAUUUUUGAAUGAGUAUAUAGUUUUUAGGAAACUAAUUGAUGGAUUUAGAAUAUACAAGACAAGAGAUGAAUAUCUUUUGAAUUCCGUAUUCUAUUCUAAUAAUACCGGGUGGACCAUUGAAGUCUGAAUACUUACUAAUUCAAUAAUUAAUGAAGUUACAAACAACAUAAAUUUGAGCUCUUUAGCUUACAUACAAGCCAAGAAAAUGACAACUGAAUGUGAUUGAUGAAUUUUCCAUGCAGUAAGGCGUCUCAGGACCACCAUCUACACCAUCAGUAAGUCCAGAAUGAUAGAAGGGAAGAAGGAUUCUGUCCAAAAGACCAAAAUGAACUCGGAGGAGUUAAAGAAAACGGACCAGGUCAAUCCUCUCGAGCCCAUGAGGCUCCAUGCAAGAUAUAUCGGGGUUUCACACAACUGUCCAGAGAGCUAUAAAAAAGUGGGUAAAAAAACCCUUGUGAGUGUUGAGGUGCCACUUUUGACACCAGCAAUG